rnacentral:rRNA from 1 species
GGYGUNCCUAACACAUGNAAGUCGAACGAGAAGNCGNNUUUUUUUCCCUUCGGGGAGAGAAAGUUGGCCGAAGAGUGGCGAACGGGUGAGUAACGCGUGGGUAAUCUACCCGGGAGUGGGGGAUAACCCUCCGGAAGGAGGGCUAAUACCGCAUAAUAUCUUCUCCUCAAAAGAGGUAAAGAUUAAAGAUGGCCUCUGUAUGUGCUAUCGCUUCAGGAUGAGCCUGCGUCCUAUUAGUUAGUUGGUAGGGUAAUGGCCUACCAAGACCACAAUGGGUNGCCNGUCUGAGAGGAUGUNCGGCCACACUGGGACUGAGAUACGGUCCCAGACUCC